UCACCUCUUUCUCCUCAUAGCCCAUGAGAGAUCAGCUUUCUUUUUCUCCCUUUCUACUUACUAUGGUUUCUCUCUUUUGAAAUUCUACUCCAAGAAAUCAAAUCUUCUUCAAAUGAUCGGUGCAAAGUCAGAUCAAAAUCAACCCACUUGAGAAAGCCAUUACAGCAACAAAACCAAAGACACGUGCUCGUUCAGUGACAUCCACUUCUUCAAAAGUUGCAUAUUCUUCCACGUGAGUAGUGAGCACUACCUUGCAUGUUGAUAAAAACUGACCUUGCGCUAGCGUUUCGCGUUCUUUCUAUUUGAUCUGAGGUGGGCUGCAUGAUCUAGGUUGCCGUUACAUGAAUGUGCUAGCACUUGUUGCGAAAUAUGGACUUCGAGACAAAAUAGUCCCACAAACACCAACACUCAAGCCAAGGGGUGGUGUAACAAUCAAGCGAAGAAUAUUGGACUCAUAAAGUGAAAAAUUCGAUGAAACUUUGAGGUAACUUUUGUAUGUACUUGUACAAUUCUAUCUAUGACUUUUGGUCUAUUACACCAUGUCGAUGAUAUUUUAUUAACAUUUUGAGGUUGUCUUUUGUGUGUAUAUGCCUCAAUGUAGCUUCCGAUUGAAUGCACUUUGUAUAUAUGAUGCAUAAUGUCUUAAAAAUAUUUAAGUAGUUUGUAUAUAAAAUGUACUUGUGGAUUGCUGCAAUUUUUAUGAGUUAGUGACUUAUAGAAA